rnacentral:rRNA from 1 species
ACACCAUGGGAGUUGGGUUCACCCGAAGGCCGUGCGCCAACCUUUCGAGGGGGCAGCGGACCACGGUGAGCUCAGCGACUGGGGUGAAGUCGUAACAAGGUAGCCGUAGGGGAACCUGCGGCUGGAUCACCUCCUUUCUA